AUCCAGAUGAGGAGUCCCAAAUAGGAAGAAAUGCGCAUCCUGGAU
rnacentral:hammerhead_ribozyme from 1 species